rnacentral:tRNA from 1 species
AAUAAGGUGCCUGAUAAAAGGAUUAUUUUGAUAGAAUAAAACAUGUAUAAAGAAAUACCCUUAUUA